rnacentral:rRNA from 1 species
GACGAACGCUGGCGGCGUGCUUAACACAUGCAAGUCGAACGAUGAACCGGAGCUUGCUCUGGGGAUUAGUGGCGAACGGAUGAGUAACACGUGGGCAACCUGCCCCAGACACCGGGAUAUCCAUUCGAAAGGAUGGCUAAUACCGGAUACGACCACUUCGGGCAUCCGAUGGUGGUGGAAAGGAUUCUGGUCUGGGAUGGGCCCGCGGCCUAUCAGCUUGUUGGUGGGGUAAUGGCCUACCAAGGCGACGACGGGUAGCCGGCCUGAGAGGGCGACCGGCCACACUGGGACUGGGACACGGCCCAGACUCCUACGGGAGGCAGCAGUGGGGAAUAUUGCGCAAUGGGCGAAAGCCUGACGCAGCGACGCCGCGUGAGGGACGAAGGUCUUCGGAUUGUAAACCUCUUUCAGCAGGGAUGAAGCGAAAGUGACAGUACCUGCAGAAGAAGCACCGGCUAACUACGUGCCAGCCGCCGCGGUAAAAC